UCCGGGGCAGUUGCUGCUGGUAGUGACGCCUGGCUCUGACCCAGGAGGCCGCAGGUUCGAUCCCUGCCCCCGGAA
rnacentral:tRNA from 1 species